rnacentral:RNase_P_RNA from 1 species
UCGGCAGGCUACGCAGUCGCCGGGCCAUUAACAGGCCGGGAGGAAAGUCCGAGCACCUCAGGGCAGCGCGGUCGGUAACGCCGACCCGGAGUGAUCCGAGGGAUCAGUGCCACAGAAACGAUACCGCCGCGACGACGGACCGAUUCGGUUCGCUGGAGCGGUAAGGGUGAAAAGAGUGCGGCAAGAGCGCACAGUCGUCGCCGGUGACGGCGGCGGGUGGUAAACCCAGCGCGGUGCAAGGCAAACAGGAUCAGGACGGCCCGUCCGCUACGAUCCGGGUUGCCGCUUGAGUGCCUGAGCAAUCAGGUGCCUAGAUGGAUGACUGCGACGCGCUUCGGCGCGUACAGAACUCGGCUUAUCGGCCAGCCGGCCGG